rnacentral:rRNA from 1 species
AACGAACGCUGGCGGCAGGCUUAACACAUGCAAGUCGAACGCCCUCUUCGGAGGGAGUGGCAGACGGGUGAGUAACACGUGGGAAUCUACCUAUCGGUAAGGAACAACACAUAGAAAUGUGUGCUAAUACCUUAUACGUCCUCAGGGAGAAAGAUUUAUCGCCGAUAGAUGAGCCCGCGUUUGAUUAGCUAGUUGGUGAGGUAAUGGCUCACCAAGGCGACGAUCAAUAGCUGGUCUGAGAGGAUGAUCAGCCACACUGGGACUGAGACACGGCCCAGACUCCUACGGGAGGCAGCAGUGGGGAAUAUUGGACAAUGGGCGCAAGCCUGAUCCAGCCAUGCCGCGUGUGUGAUGAAGGCCCUAGGGUUGUAAAGCACUUUCAACGGUGAAGAUAAUGACGGUAACCGUAGAAGAAGCCCCGGCUAACUUCG